rnacentral:tRNA from 1 species
UGCGGGAUCGUCUAACGGUAGGACGCUUGGCUCUGAACCAAGAAAUUGGGGUUCGAUUCCCUGUCCCGCAGCAA